GGCCGGCCGCCAUGCAACUGACGGCCGGGAACCUCGUCAGGUCCGGAAGGAAGCAGCGAUAACCGGUGCAGGCAGUGUCAUGGAUCGUUCCCGGUCUUG
rfam:Desulfococcus oleovorans Hxd3, complete genome.